CGCUGUCACUCCUACGGGAGGCAGCAGUGGGGAAUAUUGCACAAUGGGGGAAACCCUGAUGCAGCCAUGCCGCGUGUGUGAAGAAGGCCUUCGGGUUGUAAAGCACUUUCAGUAGGGAGGAAGGUAGUGUAGUUAACACCUGCAUUAUUUGACGUUACCUACAGAAGAAGCACCGGCUAAACUCCGUGCCAGCAGCCGCGGUAAUACGGAGGGUGCGAGCGUUAAUCGGAAUUACUGGGCGUAAAGCGCAUGCAGGCGGCCUGUUAAGUCAGGUGUGAAAGCCCGGGGCUUAACCUCGGAAUUGCAUUUGAAACUGGCAGACUAGAGUACUGUAGAGGGGGUAGAAUUUCAGGUGUAGCGGUGAAAAUGCGUAGAGAUCUGAAGGAAUACCGGUGGCGAAGGCGGCCCCCUGGACAGAUACUGACACUCAGAUGCGAAAGCGUGGGGAGCAAACAGGAUUAGAUACCCUGGUAG
rnacentral:rRNA from 1 species